UACGAAGGUGGCAAGCGUUACUCGGAAUUACUAGGCGUAAAGGGCAGGUAGGUGGUUUGGUUAGUCUGUUGUGAAAGCUCCUUGCUUAACGGGGAGAGGCCAACAGAUACUGCCAGGCUUGAGUAUAGGAGAGGGUACUGGAAUUCCCGGUGUAGCGGUGAAAUGCGCAGAGAUCGGGAGGAACACCAAUGGCGAAGGCAGCUCGCUGGGACGGUACUGACGCUGAGGAGCGAAAGCGUGGGGAGCAAACAGG
rnacentral:rRNA from 1 species